UACAGAGGUCUCGAGCGUUAGGCGGAAUCACUGGGCUUAAAGCGUGUGUAGGCGGAUUGCUAAGUACCUUGUGAAAUCCCACGGCUUAACCGUGGAACUGCUUGGUAUACUGGCUGUCUUGAGCCACUUAGGGGCAACCGGAACAAACGGUGGAGCGGUGAAAUGCGUAGAUAUCGUUUGGAACGCCAAUGGUGAAAACAGGUUGCUGGGUUGUGCCGACGCUGAGACACGAAAGCCAGGGGAGCAAACGGG
rnacentral:rRNA from 1 species